rnacentral:rRNA from 1 species
GACGAACGCUGGCGGCGUGCCUAAUACAUGCAAGUAGAACGCUGAAGAGAGGAGCUUGCUCUUCUUGGAUGAGUUGCGAACGGGUGAGUAACGCGUAGGUAACCUGCCUUGUAGCGGGGGAUAACUAUUGGAAACGAUAGCUAAUACCGCAUAACAAUGGAUGACACAUGUCUUUUAUUUGAAAGGGGCAAUUGCUCCACUACAAGAUGGACCUGCGUUGUAUUAGCUAGUAGGUGAGGUAAUGGCUCACCUAGGCGACGAUACAUAGCCGACCUGAGAGGGUGAUCGGCCACACUGGGACUGAGACACGGCCCAGACUCCUACGGGAGGCAGCAGUAGGGAAUCUUCGGCAAUGGGGGCAACCCUGACCGAGCAACGCCGCGUGAGUGAAGAAGGUUUUCGGAUCGUAAAGCUCUGUUGUAAGUCAAGAACGGGUGUGAGAGUGGAAAGUUCACACUGUGACGGUAGCUUACCAGAAAGGGACGGCUAACUACGU